UACGUAGGGUGCAAGCGUUGUCCGGAAUUAUUGGGCGUAAAGAGCUCGUAGGCGGUCUGUCGCGUCUGCUGUGAAAACUCGGGGCUUAACCCCGGGCCUGCAGUGGGUACGGGCAGACUAGAGUGCGGUAGGGGAGACUGGAAUUCCUGGUGUAGCGGUGAAAUGCGCAGAUAUCAGGAGGAACACCGGUGGCGAAGGCGGGUCUCUGGGCCACUACUGACGCUGAGACGCGAAAGCGUGGGGAGCAAACAGG
rnacentral:rRNA from 1 species